rnacentral:lncRNA from 1 species
GUUCUCCAUAGUGGCUGUAUCAAUUUACAUUCCCACCAACAGUGCAAGAGGGUUCCCUUUUCUCCAUACCCUCUCCAGCAUUUAUUGUUUGUAGAUGUUUUGUUGAUGGCCAUUCUGACGGGUGUGAGGUGAUACCUCAUUGUAGUUUUUUGGGUUUUUUUUUUUUUUGCCGUAUGCGGGCCUCUCACUGUUGUGGCCUCUCUUGUUGCGGAGCACAGGCUCCGGACGCGCAGGCUCAGCGGCCAUGGUUCACAGGCCCAGCCGCUCCGCGGCAUGUGGGAUCUUCCCGGACCGGGGCACGAACCCGUGUCCCCUGCAUCGGCGGCGGACUCUCAACCACUGUGCCACCAGGGAAGCCCCUCAUUGUAGUUUUGAUUUGCAUUUCUCUAAUGAUUAGGGAUGUUGAGCAUCCUUUCAUGUGUUUGUUGGCAAUCUGUAUAUCUUCUUUGGAGAAAUGUCUAUUUAGGUCUUCUGCCCAUUUUUGGAUUGGGAUGUUUGUGUGUUUUUAUGUUAUCAAUGAAUCAUUGUAUUUGGAUCAGAACAAGUAAGCUCCUGUUUUUAAGGCCCCACUUUUGUGGUUAAGAAUUGAUUUGUGGCAGUCUCUUGAGUGUAGAAGAAUUGAAUAUGAUUGUUAGUGAAGCUGUUAAGUAUUUCAGAGGGAAUAAUGAGAUUAUUGAUUAGGUUCUUUCUGAUUAUAAAAGAGAUUUAAUGACACUGUUUUGGUCAAGACAAGUGAACGUCUCUCAAUUUCAUUGGCUAGGUGAUGAUGUCUGUUUAUUUUCCACUUUUGCCUGACAUGCUAAUUGACAAGUAAGGUGAGUGAAUAGAGCCAUUAUUGUCCAUGGAUAAUUGGUCAUUCCUGUAGCAAGCAAUUGGACAGCAAAGAUAUAAUUUUGUAUAGUGUGUACAUUAUCAACUAAAUACCUUCCCCUCCCCCCAUUGUAUUAGCUCUAAUUUUUGUCAUGUGGCAUUCAUGGAAUUUUCACUCAGCACAUACUGACCUAGCUUUUCCCCAUAUAACUACAAGUUUUAUUAAUCUUUGCUGUCUUGGAUGUGAGUUUUACCAGUGGUGUUUGGUAACUUCUUGAUCCUUUCUUGUUGUCCGUGGUCCACUAUCCUCUUUCAUAUUUUUGACCUGAUCUUCCUGUCCCAAGGCAAAAAAGGCAUGAAAAUAAUGUCUUCAUCUCCCCAUCAUUGACCCCUCUGGACUACAGUGAUGUCUGUUCCAGUGAGUAGAGUUGGGGAGUCACUAAAAUGAUAGGUUAACAUCCUCAGGGAUUAUUACUCUUGAUCACCUUGCAGCUGGUUGUUACUUUCAUUCUGUCAUGAACUGGAGAAUAUUUAUUUUGGCAGCUGCUCCCCUAUGAGCCCAUAUGCUGGCAUUCUUAAACCAGUGGGGGUACAGCUUGGCACUCCAGAAAUAGGUUAUGCAGUGCAAAAGGGGGCAGUCUGGGGCCCAAGCAAAUGUCUUCUGUUUGCCAUCGAAUCAUAGAAUUCUAGGACUGGGAGGGUCAUGGAUAUCAUGUAGGUUUGCUUCUUCAUUUUACUGAUGAGGAAAGGAAACUCAUAAAUGGGAAGUGUCUUUGGCAAAAUGAGAGUUAAUAGCAGUACAGGGACCAUAACUAAAAAGUUUUUCAGUCCUGUGUUACCCUGCUGGUGAAAUGGAGCAAGAGAUAGAGUGAUAGAGUAGGAAUAGUAUCAGGUUUACUGGGGGUUUUAUGCCCAGGUCUGUUGUUACAUAGUAGUUGUAUGACUUGAAGUAAUUAACUGAAUCUUUUUUUUUUUUUUUUGUGGUACGCGGGCCUCUCACUGCUGUGGCCUCUCCCGCUGCGGAGCACAGGCUCCGGACGCGCAGGCUCAGCGGCCAUGGCUCAUGGGCCCAGCCGCUCCGCGGCACGUGGGAUCCACCCGGACCGGGGCACCAACCCGUGUCCCCUGCAUCGGCAGGCGGACUCUCAACCACUGAGCCACCAGGGAAGUCCCAAAUGAAUCAUUUUUGAAAUUGUUCGUUAUCCAUUGAAUGGUAGAUCUGUCAAUGACCCUGCCUUCCUCUAAAGUUUGUCUGUUGUCUGUUCAUUGAGUUAUAUCAUAUUUUGAUGUUUAAAAUUUGUUCAGGCUGUGACUGGAUGAAAAAUGUUGACUAAUAUGGAAAUAUACUUUGACCUCAUUUUCUUCUCUUCCCCAUUUCCUUGAGGUCAGAGGAAAUACAUUUUUUAACUCCUAUAAUUGUGUAUUCUUAUCUACUCUGACAGCGACACCUCAGGGUCUCACCUCUCCUGAAAAGAAUUAUAAUAAUUGGGCAUUCUAUGACCUUCCUGUCACAAUAGAUGGGUACUUGAGACUCUGGAAGGAUUUUUAUCAGCAGUGUUCAUCAAUGUUUUCCUGUUAAACCCAAGGAAAAUAGUUCAUAAGAUGUUUCACCUAAUGGUUUCAACUUAGGGCUUCAUCUCAGCCUGAGCUGGUAUGUUAUUGUCUUACUAAACAAUAAUAUUUAGUUACUGUU